UACGUAGGGUGCGAGCGUUAAUCGGAAUUACUGGGCGUAAAGCGUGCGCAGGCGGCUUCGCAAGUCAGACGUGAAAUCCCCGGGCUUAACCUGGGAAUGGCGUUUGAAACUACGGAGCUGGAGUGUGGCAGAGGGAGGUAGAAUUCCACGUGUAGCGGUGAAAUGCGUAGAUAUCAGGAGGAACACCAAUGGCGAAGGCAGCUCGCUGGGACGUGACUGACGCUGAGACGCGAAAGCGUGGGGAGCAAACAGG
rnacentral:rRNA from 1 species